rnacentral:rRNA from 1 species
CCUACGGGAGGCAGCAGUGGAGAAUCAUUCACAAUGGGGGAAACCCUGAUGGUGCGACGCCGCGUGGAGGAAUGAGGCUCUUCGGUUUUUAAACCCCUGUCAUGUGGGAGCGCAUUAGAAAGUUAGUACCACAAGAGCCAGAGACGGCUACCUCUGUGCCAGCACCCGCGGUAGUACGGAGGUCGCAAGCGUUGUGCGGACUGACUGUGCGUAAGGGGUGCGUAGGCUGUCUCGUAAGUUGUGUGUGAAAGGCGCGGGCUCAACCCGCGGCCUGCAUAUGAAACUGCGAGACUAGAGUAAUGGAGGGGGAACCGGAAUUCUCGGUGUAGCAGUGAAAUGCGUAGAUAUCGAGAGGAACACUAGUGGCGAAGGCGGGUUCCUGGACAUUAACUGACGCGGAGGCACGAAGGCGAGGGGAGCGAAAGGGAUUAGAUACCCUUGUAGUC